UAGCUACAGGCUUAACACAUGCAAGUCGAGGGGAAACGACAUCGAAAGCUUGCUUUUGAUGGGCGUCGACCGGCGCACGGGUGAGUAACGCGUAUCCAACCUGCCCACCACUUGGGGAUAACCUUGCGAAAGUAAGACUAAUACCCAAUGAUAUCUCUAGAAGGCAUCUGAAAGAGAUUAAAGAUUUAUCGGUGAUGGAUGGGGAUGCGUCUGAUUAGCUUGUUGGCGGGGUAACGGCCCACCAAGGCAACGAUCAGUAGGGGUUCUGAGAGGAAGGUCCCCCACAUUGGAACUGAGACACGGUCCAAACUCCUACGGGAGGCAGCAGUGAGGAAUAUUGGUCAAUGGACGAGAGUCUGAACCAGCCAAGUAGCGUGCAGGAUGACGGCCCUAUGGGUUGUAAACUGCUUUUAUAAGGGAAUAAAGUGAGAGUCGUGACUCUUUUUGCAUGUACCUUAUGAAUAAGGACCGGCUAAUUCCGUGCCAGCAGCCGCGGUAAUACGGAAGGUCCGGGCGUUAUCCGGAUUUAUUGGGUUUAAAGGGAGCGUAGGCCGGAGAUUAAGCGUGUUUUGAAAAUGUAGAUUGUCAACGUUUGCAUGUCAGCGCGAACUGGUUUCCUUGAGUUCGCACAAAAGUGGGCGGAAUUUCGUGGUGUUGCGGGUGAAAUGCUUAGAUAUCAGGAAGAACUCCGAUUGCGAAGGCAGCUCACGGGAGCGCAACUGACGCUGAAGCUCGAAAGUGCGGGUAUCGAACAGGAUUAGAUACCCUGGUAGUCCGCACGGUAAACGAUGGAUGGCCCGCUGUUGGUCUGAAUAGGUCAGCGGCCAAGCGAAAGCAUUAAGCAUCCCACCUGGGGAGUACGCCGGCAACGGUGAAACUCAAAGGAAUUGACGGGGGCCCGCACAAGCGGAGGAACAUGUGGUUUAAUUCGAUGAUACGCGAGGAACCUUACCCGGGCUUGAAUUGCAGAGGAAGGAUUUGGAGACAAUGACGCCCUUCGGGGUCUCUGUGAAGGUGCUGCAUGGUUGUCGUCAGCUCGUGCCGUGAGGUGUCGGCUUAAGUGCCAUAACGGGCGCAACCCCUCUCCUUAGUUGCCAUCAGGUUAAGCUGGGCACUCUGGGGACACUGCCACCGUAAGGUGUGAGGAAGGUGGGGAUGACG
rnacentral:rRNA from 1 species